CAGCAGCGGCCGCUGGCCCCGAGGCGGAUGUGUACUGCCGGAGAGGCGAUUUGGCUCUGCCAGCCUCACAGCCUCUUCCUGCCUGGGUGACGUCAUCCGCACUGCCCUCAAGCGUGAAGCAGGUUUUUCCUCCCUGGGCUUGUACAAUCCUGCAAAAUGAUCCACAUGGGCAGAUCCUUACACCUGCAUAGACUCAUUCCAUGCACAUGAAACGGCUUGCAAUCUUCAGCCAUUGGAGUAAUGAGAAUCUGAGUUUCCUUAAAACAAAUGAAAAUGACUAGCCCUCAUGGAUUCAGGGAAAAGCUGGAAAAUGUGACCCGAGUGUCGCCUAAAGGUUCAAAAACCAGAAGACAGGACAAAGAAUUCCAAAUGUAUCAUAAUUUAAAAUAUCAUGAUUUUUAAGGUAAUCUUGUGAUUUAUUGGGGCCUGACACUUGAUUUUUUAACAGUUGGGGGUUUAGUAAUACCGAUGUUAUGACAAUAAUUCAGUAAGUUCCCUUAGCCAUUCAAUCAUUCUCCCAUAUUUCCCCAUCACCUCUCCUGCCUGCUCCUCUCUACCCUGCAUGGGAGAAAAGGGGGCCUUUUAUAGAUCAUUGACUGGGAGGUGGGAGACAGAAGCAACUAUCCCAAGUGGUUGACUGGAGGCAGGGAAGUAGAAACCCUUGUUUUCCUUAUUGCCUUUGGCAUGACACUUUCCCUGGCAGGCACUGGGCAGCAGAAGCCAGGAAUGAGAGAUCUGUGGGCUCAUUGCCUCAUUGGGCAACUGAGGGGAAAAAAUGGAAGAAACUUUUGCCCACCAAUGCAGCCACCUUUAUGAUGGAAUUUGGCAUCCAGGGGUUUUGACAAGGUAGCUGAAGAAUCACUUUUAAAACUGAAACUAUAUACUUCCCUAUAUAUUUUGUGGCCAUAUUUGAUAAUUCUUCCUGUUAAAUAAUGGCAUAUUAUCCAGGAUUCCAUAUUUCUGUGUGCUCCUCUCAAUCCCUUGGACAGUUACUGCGGGGGAUUUAGUAGGAAUAAUUGUCAUUUCUAUA